rnacentral:rRNA from 1 species
UACGUAGGGGGCAAGCGUUGUCCGGAAUCAUUGGGCGUAAAGAGCGCGUAGGCGGCCCUGUAAGUCCGCUGUGAAAGUCAAGGGCUCAACCCUUGGAUGCCGGUGGAUACUGCAGGGCUAGAGUCCGGAAGAGGAGUGUGGAAUUCCUGGUGUAGCGGUGAAAUGCGCAGAUAUCAGGAGGAACACCAAUGGCGAAGGCAGCACUCUGGGACGUGACUGACGCUGAGACGCGAAAGCGUGGGGAGCAAACAGG